rnacentral:lncRNA from 1 species
AUCAGAGUGACACACAUAAGCAACCCUGAGUCAUAGCUAGAGUAGGAUCACUUGGGAAGUGCAGUGUCUUAGCCCAACCAGGAAAGGCUGAGCUGGGUCCAAGGAAGGCUCAAGAUUUGCCCACAGAGAAGAGGAGUUAAAGAAGAAGGCGUGUAAUCAUGGAGCUGACUUCCCCAGGAAGGAAAAAGAAGUAGAGAUUUGUUUUAGAGAUUUCAAAAUAAAAGGCACCAAAUCAGAAGAUAUCUAUCCAAGGUCACAAUCCACCAUCGAAGGAAAUCAGGGCUGGGACCUGACAGCAAGAACCGUGGAGGAAUACUACUUUUCACCUCACUCUGGUUUGCCCACAGACUUACAGAUAGCCAACUUCCUUAUGCAGCCCAGUACUAGGUGCUCAGAGAUGGUAUCACACUGUGGACUGGGCCCUCCUAUGUCAAUUAAUAAUCAGGACAAUCCCCCACAGGCAUUUCCACAAGUCUAUCUGCUUUAGUCAAUUCCUCAAUCAAGACUUCUAGAUGACUCUCAGUUAGCUAGGAUAAUUCAAUUUAAAAGGGAGGUAUGUGGCAGGGACUCAAGUUAGGAAACCUGCCCAAUAUAGUCUUCUCAUUCUCGGUCUCCUGAAUAAACUAGUACUCUAUCCAACACCCAGAUUAAUUUAGAGCUUCAGCUAGGAUGGCUUUUAGAUUAAAGGGGAACCUUGAGUGAGAAACAUGAUUACUCUCCUCAUACCCCAGAUCCAUUCUGAAAUGAACUUUGAAAACAUUUGGAAAAUUGUCUAUUACAUCCCUUUUAUAGUCUGAAGCAAAACUUACCAGGCUUUUGUUAUUCUCAAGUCAAUUUUCAACAUUCUUACCUGUGCUUUCAACACUUCCUAAGACACGCUUACUCUACAUUGACCAUGCAUAUUUGACCUAAAGAGCAAACUGCUUUCCUUGUAUGAAGCUUCUUCUGUGGCACACUUCAUGGGACUGCUACCUGAAGAGGAGUAUUUAAGCAGGAAGAAAAAGAUUUGUGUCAGUCUAGGUGAGAAAUAGUGACAAAGUAAACCAGAAAAAUGGAAUACGACACAGAAAAGUGAAGUCACACAGGAAAUGGCUAAAAUACCAAACUGACAAGAUUUGGUAACCACUUGACUUUGAGAAAUAAUGUACUUUGCUAGAGAGGAUCUGUGUGGUGUAAAGUUUGUACACAACAAAGAAAUGAUGUGCUUCAGCUUUGUGCAUUUGUUCUAUGUGCUGGGUCACAUGUCACCAGAAACACAGCAGCUUAAAAUACCGUACCUUUCCUGUCUUGCAAUUACAUUACAUAUUAAUGUCUGGGACAGCUCAAUCAUGGUCUUUGUGGCAACACAGACUACAAACAAAGUGUCACCUGGGCUGUAACCUUAUCUGGAAGACUGGCUCAGGGAGAAGAACUUUCCCCAGUUGUGUUCAAGAAUUAAUUAAUUAAUUCUUUGUUGAAGUAUGACCAAAGGUCUUGAUUUCUCUCUCAUGGAUAACAGAAAGAAAUCCUUAAUUACUUGCCACUUAGCCCCUAGCCAUUGGAAUUCAUAUAUAAUAUGGUGUUUUUCUUUCUCAAGGACAGGAGGAGAAUCUCCAGUCAUAGUUUGCUAACACUUAAGACAGUAACUGUGUGGUUUGAAAGAAAAUGGUCCCCAAAGGGAGUGACACUAUUAGGAGGUAUGGCCUUGUUGGAGGAAGUGUGUCACUGUGGAGGCUAGCUUUAAGGUCUCUUUUGCUCAAAUUUCACUCGCUGUGGUACUCAGUCUACUUCAUGUUGCCUGAAGGCCAAGAUGUAGAACACUUGGUUACUUCUCCAGCACCAUGCCUGCCUGCAUGCUACUAUGUCAUACCAAUAAUGGUAAUGGUCUGAAUCCCUGAAAAUUUAAGCCACCCAAAUGAAAUGUUUUUCCUUUAUAAGAGUUGUUGAGGUCAUGGUUUCUCUCCAUAGCAGUAGAAAUCUUAGGUAAGACAGUGAUAGAUAGAGCUAGGAAGAUGGCUCAGUGAGUGUUUGCUGCACAAGAAUGACAAUGGAGUUCAGAUCCUAAGCACUGAUAUAAAAACCAGGUGUGGUGGCAUGUUUCUAUAGCCCCUGUACUGGGGAGGUAGAGACAAGAGGAUUAAUUGGUCAACCAGUCUAGCCAAAACAGUGAGCUCAAAUUUUGGUGGGACACCAUGGCCCCCAAAAAUAAGGUAGAAGAGAAAAAAGAAGAUACCAGAACUUGACAUCUGGCCUCCACAUGCAUACUUAAAGAGAGUACACACACAUGUAUACAGAUACAACCAUACACACACACACACACACACACACACACACACACACACUAUAAAAAUAGCGAGCUUCAUUUCCUUUGCUGAAUAUACAGCUGAUAUGAAAUUUGAAAUGCCAUCAUCUGAUGGGGAAUGUCCUUCUGUGUAUAUGUUUAUCUUAUUGGUUAAUGAAUAAAGCACUAUUUGGCCAAUUAGGCAGAAAGAUAUGUGGGACUAGAAAGAUAUGUGAGUCAAGGAGGAUUCUGGGAAAUGUAGUCUUGUGAUACAGGCAGGAAGUGACAUAGCAGGCAGACUCAUAUAUAAGCAGGGACAAACAAGAAGUGGCCCCUUCUCUCUUGCUCUUCCUCUCUGUGGAGCUGCCAUGCAACCAACCGCCAGGAAGACAGGACGAAAGGCCUGCGUCCUCCAUAAGAUAACUUCAAAGCACAAAAAUUAGCUGCCCCAGCCAACUUUCUCUUGGAUGAAGUGAUACCUCCUACUACACCACCGUAUCUGAGCCAGUUUCCGCCAAACAACCAGCAGCUAAUUUAGGUCAGCUUUCACAAAGCUGUGACCUUGGUGCAGCCUUUGGAAAAGUGAAGGGAGAUACAGGUGCAUCGGUCUACAGACCUGAGUCAGGCGAUGCUACAUUAGCAGCCCCAGCGACCGUCUUAUCUUAUGCCUCAGUGGCAAAGUAAAAUGAGCGUAAGUCAAUUAUACCCAGGUUACAUGCUCAAGUCUCCAAACAGAACAUUGGUGCUCUUCCAGAGGACUGCGUUUUGUUCCCAGGACCUACAUCAGGUGGCUCAUAAUUGCCUGUCACUCCAAUUUCUGGAGAUGUGAUGCCCUCUCUUGGGCUCUGCAAGUACUGGCAUGCAACACACACACACACACACACACACACACACACACACACACACACACACACACACCAAUACAUAAAAAACCCUCCCCUGAAGGCUCAAUGAUCUGUGCAGAAGAGAAGGUGGAAAUACCAUUGAGAGUUAGAGAGGACGGGAAACUCCAAGGAAACAGUGUCACCCAGACACAACAAGACUGAUGCACCUAUUUUGCACCAGGCUGCAAGGGCUCACGCCAGACUGAAUCCUAACACUGAAAGGGGGAAACAGACACAGGCUCCCACCCCUAACCAAGAAGCUCUCUGCAAUUAGUACCCAGUUGCAAAGGAAAAAUGAGUUUUCUUCAAUGUUCUCCUUGGAAUGUGAGCUACACUUCAGGGUAGCAGGAGAUGGCGACACAACAUGCGAUCAGUGGUAUUUUUGUGGACUUUGUGUCUCAAACCGCUUUGUUUGGAAAUCUUAUGUCUUACUGGUCUUUUGCUAGUAGGUUUUGGUUUCCAUUAUUCUUGUGUUUGUGUGUAUUCGUGUCCCUUUUUUGUUGCUGUUGUUUUUUUGUUUGUUUUGCUUGCUUUUUUUUUUUUUUUUUUUUUUUUUUUUGUCAAAAGAUAAGGAGCAUGGAGUUGGAUCCAUGGGGAUGUGGGGAGGAACUGGGAGGAGCUGGGGGAGGGGAAAGCAUGAUCACACUAUAUUGUAUGGAUUUUUUUCAAUAAAAAAUAGUGAAAGCAUAUGUUUUAAAUAUAGGAAAAUAUAUACUAGUUUCUCUCAUUUUCCUUUAAUUUGUGUUCUGGUGUUUUAAUAAAG